rnacentral:rRNA from 1 species
UACAGAGGUGGCAAGCGUUGUUCGGAAUUACUGGGCGUAAAGGGCGCGUAGGCGGCCUUCUAAGUCAGACGUGAAAUCCCCCGGCUUAACCUGGGAACUGCGUCUGAUACUGGGAGGCUAGAGUGCGGGAGAGGGAUGCGGAAUUCCAGGUGUAGCGGUGAAAUGCGUAGAUAUCUGGAGGAACACCGGUGGCGAAGGCGGCAUCCUGGACCAACACUGACGCUGAGGAGCGAAAGCCAGGGGAGCAAACGGG